ensembl:miRNA
GUGCCUCCAGGACUGUCAAACCUGAGAAUGGUGAGCGUCCAGGGACAAUCUCAGGUGUGUCAGCCCGAGAGGUGC